rnacentral:lncRNA from 1 species
UGCUGAUGGUAGAGAGGAGAUCAAUGGCAAGGGAGGCAAGGGAGAAACUGAGGGUGUGAAUCUGAGUUUAUUCUAGAUGUCUUUUUUUGCUGAUCAACUCCAUCUCAAUCGCCAUCCAUCUUCCUCUAAUUUUUCUUUUGUUUCUGUACAGGUCAAAGAGGGUUUACAACUAAGUAUAAAGCUUCACGAGGACUCAUCUUCUUCGGAUGGAAGAUGAUCAGUUACUGAUAAGUUAUAAAAUUUCUAUAUUUCGGUGAUGGUAUCGACUAGGUGUUCUUUCAGAUUUGCUUCUAUCAUGCGUAUUAAAACACGUUCAGCUUAUGUAGAUGAUGCACGGAUACUGCAGUAAAAGUAAAUACUUUACCUGUAAACUGAACUUUUGAUUUAGUAAUUCUACUUUUGGUCCAACAAUCGAUCAAUUGUUGAGGCUAUACUGAACCAAAAAUUGCUUACUGGGGCAGUACUAUAGUCUCUUGAUUAUGCUCUUAAGUAAAUAUCAUGUCUUCCUCUAAUUAGAAAUUUAGAAAACAAUAGGUUAAUCAGAAGCUUUCUUACAAGAAGAGUGCUCUUCAGAAGCUACUACAUGUAUACGCUCACAUCACAUGCAUGUUUUGUUUUCUUAAUUUUCAGGUGCUUGUGAAUAUCUGCAGAAGUACAGUAGCCUGUAGCUUUGUAGGCGUUGAACUAAAUACCAAUCCAAGUAAGAGCGAAAGGAAGAUAAUAUAGGUUUUGAUCCGCCAAAAGGUCUAUUUAUUCUCAUUUCAGUUAAGACUUACCUCUAAACAUUGCAUGAACUCCUGCACAUAUUGGAUACUUUAUUGAUGCACCUUCUUGCAUUUUAAUUCCAUGUAAGUUGUGUACUCUAUUUAAUAAGUUAUUUGUAUUUUGGCUACAAAUGAUUUUAUUGGAUAUACUGUAGACAUUUUCCGCAAGGACUGUUGCAACUUGCUAGACAUAGGAAAAGAUGGGAGUCAAUCCAAGAUGACAUCAGCAACCAAAG